AUGAUGUCUCUCUUUAACUCACUGUUGUCUGGGACACACACCCUGUCCUGGAAUUGGAGUAACCAUCGACAGAGACUCGGAAUUCUGAGCUCACUCUCUAUUCUGUAUCAUUCUUACGGGCUAUUAGGGCAGGGUCGACUGACUGGGCUUCCCUUAUUCUCUGUAUUAACUCGGGCUGGACAGUCAGAUGGCCCAAACAUGCGACUCUCUUCAGGUCCUGAAGUCGAACCUGUUGUGUGGCCCCAAUUUGCUUGCAUUCUGAAAUCAUCAAAUGGGUUAAGAUACCUACAUUUUUCCUGCUGAGAGCAUCUGCCACCACAUUGCCCUUACCCGGAUGAUAUAAGAUAUCAUAAUCAUAGUCUUUAAGGAGUUCCAUCCACCUUUUAUG
rnacentral:lncRNA from 1 species